AUUGAACGCUGGCGGCAGGCCUAACACAUGCAAGUCGAGCGAGCGGCGGACGGGUGAGUAAUGUAUGGGGACUGCCCGAUAGAGGGGGAUAACUACUGGAGACGGUAGCUAAUACCGCAUACUAUCGGAUAACCCAUAUGGGAUUAGCUGGUAGGUGAGGUAAUGGCUCACCUAGGCGAGGAUCCCUAGCUGGGCGGAGAGGAUGAGCAGCCAACCUGGAACUGAGACACGGCCCAGACUCCUAGGGAGGCAGCAGUGGGGAAUAUUGCACAAUGGGCGCAAGCCUGAUGCAGCCAUGCCGCGUGUAUGAAGAAGGCCCUAGGGUUGUAAAGUACUUUAAUUCGGGAGGCGUUACCGACAGAAGAAGCACCGGCUAACUCCGUGCCAGCCGCCGCGGUAAUUC
rnacentral:rRNA from 1 species